GACGAACGCUGGCGGCGUGCUUAACACAUGCAAGUCGAACGAAGAGCGAUGGAAGCUUGCUUCUAUCAAUCUUAGUGGCGAACGGGUGAGUAACGCGUAAUCAACCUGCCCUUCAGAGGGGGACAACAGUUGGAAACGACUGCUAAUACCGCAUACGAUCUAAUCUCGGCAUCGAGGAUAGAUGAAAGGUGGCCUCUACAUGUAAGCUAUCACUGAAGGAGGGGAUUGCGUCUGAUUAGCUAGUUGGAGGAGUAACGGCCCACCAAGGCGAUGAUCAGUAGCCGGUCUGAGAGGAUGAACGGCCAAAUUGGGACUGAGACACGGCCCAGACUCCUACGGGAGGCAGCAGUGGGGAAUCUUCCGCAAUGGACGAAAGUCUGACGGAGCAACGCCGCGGGAGUGAUGACGGCCUUCGGGUUGUAAAGCUCUGUUAAUCGGGACGAAAGGCCUUCUUGCGAAUAGUGAGAAGGAUUGACGGUACCGGAAUAGAAAGCCACGGCUAACUACGUG
rnacentral:rRNA from 1 species